GAGGGUAUAGCUCAGUGGUAGAGUGCUUGCUUAGCAUACACAAGGUCCUGGGUUCAAUCCCCAGUAACUCCA
rnacentral:tRNA from 1 species